CUGGCUCUCGCGCGCGCGCUGCGAGGUGGCCGUCGCUUGGAGGGCGCUGGUCGGGGGCCUGGUGGGGGACUCAGCUCGGCUGCCGCUGCUGCUGGCGUCCCUGGGCCUCUUCGUCGUCGCGCGCUCCCGCUCGCGGAGAGAUGGCCAAGCUGGAGGCCGGUCCUGCGACGACAGAAAUGGUUCGAGAUCUGGGACGAGGACACUAUGGGGACUUUUUCAAACUUGGGCUCGGAGGACGACCGUGGACAGGGUCCUGUGGAACGACCUCUACCGACUAUGCAUCUACAUCGACUUCCAGUGACCCCUCUACCCAUUCAGCCACGUCCCCUUCUGUGGAACCCACUGUCCCAUCUGAUGGUGCAAUGUCACCAGAUUCUAUAGUCUCGGUUUAUUUUACAAGUUCUUCUAAUUCCUUGAGCCCCGCUGGAUUUCCUACCACAACCAUCAACACUGGUCACAGCAUGACAGCUUUUACUGAACUGACCUCUGUCUUCACAACCAGUCCUGAAUUGUCCAAAUCAGCCUUUACCUCCUCUCCCUGGGAAGACAGAAGUGCAUUCCAUUCAAGGCCUGGCCACCCACCUACCACCCUUGCUGACUCAGGCCUCACAGAAGGACCCACUGUGUAUGCAGGCACCAAGCCUACAAUCCCCUCAGACAGCGCCCUGAGCAAAGUGGGUGGGAUGCCCACUUCCACAUUAGGGCCCCUGGACCCUUUGCCCACCAGCAGUGGUCAUGGGCAGAUGACCCCAUCUUUGUCUCAGGAUGGGACCAGGGGUUUCCUCACUGACAUUUCCUACACACCGUUCCCAUAGCACAGACAAG
rnacentral:lncRNA from 1 species